rnacentral:rRNA from 1 species
AACGAACGCUGGCGGCAGGCUUAACACAUGCAAGUCGAGCGCCCCGCAAGGGGAGCGGCAGACGGGUGAGUAACGCGUGGGAAUCUACCCAUCUCUACGGAAUAACGCAUGGAAGCGUGUGCUAAUACCGUAUACGUCCUUCGGGAGAAAGAUUUAUCGGAGAUGGAUGAGCCCGCGUUGGAUUAGCUAGUUGGUGGGGUAAAGGCCUACCAAGGCGACGAUCCAUAGCUGGUCUGAGAGGAUGAUCAGCCACACUGGGACUGAGACACGGCCCAGACUCCUACGGGAGGCAGCAGUGGGGAAUAUUGGACAAUGGGCGCAAGCCUGAUCCAGCCAUGCCGCGUGAGUGAUGAAGGCCCUAGGGUUGUAAAGCUCCUUCACCGGUGAAGAUAAUGACGGUAACCGGAGAAGAAGCCCCGGCUAACUUCGUGCCAGCCGCCGCUGUAAAAC